rnacentral:antisense_RNA from 1 species
GGCCUCAGCAGCAUCUGUUCUCUCAAGGUGUCCUGGACACUCAGGUCAAAUAUUGUUUCAGAGAGAUCCCGCCUGACCCACUCUGCAAAACAGAAUGCCCAGGUGCAGCCUGUCUCACCAGCACAACUCAGGUCAGACUAGGAACAGCAGGAGAUCAAUAGCCAUGUGUGAGAAGUGGAUUCUUCACUGGACUGCAC